rnacentral:lncRNA from 1 species
UUUCUGGAGUUGGAAAAUUUCCUCCACGAAUUGAACAACAUUCUUUCAUUCUUAUCAUUUCAGUACCUUCUCCAACGCAGGCUGCAGAAACCAAGCCUACCAUACCAUAUGAAACAAAUAAAACUUGCUCACCAUCAUACUCUUGCUCAACAGGUAACUUUGUUUUCUUUCCUGAAAGCCUGGGAGCUUUCAAAUUUUGAUAAAUGUUAGCACACUGUUAAGAGCACAUAUUCUGUAAUAACACAGGUCUGACUUGAGUACCUACAAAGGCUACUCCAAUUAGCUAUACGACUUAAACAAAUGUCUUACCCUCUUUGAAUCUGUGUUUAUCUUUUGUAAAAUGGAUGGAAUUUUACUGAUGUAGAAUUCUUUCAAGGAUUAAAUUAGCUAAAGAUUGGAACAUAGUUAAAUGGUAGUGAUACAUAGAGUGGCACCUAUGACUGUCACUUAGCAUGUCCAGAAAUAUGCACACCUGAGCCACAUAGCUAGCUUGUAAGAUUUGGGAACAUCCACAUGUGUAUCUGCAUUUCUCUAAAUUAAAUGAACCAGCCUUUUCUUUAAACUUAUUAGUAGGUUUAAUCCCCUGGACAGAGCCUUAAAAAGCUUAAAUCCAAAUUAACCUGGCCCAGACCAGACUAGUCACUUGUUUAUGUUUCUCCUAAACUCCAGAAACUACAUAGAAAGAACCACAAGGCCCUCCCGCUGCCUUGUUAAGCUUUCAUUUCACAUGGAUACUUUGAGAUGGGUUGAGAACAUGGACAGGAGAACCAAAGAGUCAUGCCCUCCUAGGAUUGGGCUAUUCCACCAGAAAAGUCUCCCUGCUCUCCCCAAUUUUGGAAAAUCCAUAUUCUUUCCAGAUGGGCUGGUACAAGGUCCAUGGAUGAGCACCGACAAGGGAGUCUCCAUUGGAAUCUCUGUUGCUGUCUUGGUAGUAUUGCUCAUAUUUGUGGUAUUCUGGAUUAACAAAAUUUAGAAUAUCUUUGCCUGGGUAACAAGAUGGAGCUACUAUGUGUGAUUCCCUUGAAGGAGUCUCAUAUUGGAGCUUUGAAACAUGCAGCUCUGAAGCCUAUCCAAGCAGAAGAUAAUGCCUACAUUAUUGAUGACUCUCAUUAAGUCGUGGGCCCAGAUUCUAAGGCAUUAUGUAGAAGACAGUGCCAAGAUAUCACUAUGUCAGAAUCCUUCAAGCAGCAGGACAAAUUUUUGGUCAGUUUCUGAUGACAUUCCACAGAGUCAAGAACAUUGGGUAGAGUGGGUCUAGAUCAUCUGUGCACAAUCAACCUCUAUCACACAGUCCUAAUUUUUUGUAUUAAAACCGAGUCAGUCAUUCUGGUCAUUGCAGAAAUCUCUGCAAAACAUGAAAGGUACACUUUAGAAUUGUACAUUCUCUUUAGACCCUAUGAAUCCUGUUAUCCAUCAAGAAUUCUCAUUGGGGAGGCAGAAAACACACUUGGACCUUGGUUAAGAAAGCUGUGGAGAGGAGCUGACCACAACUUAAAAUCAGCAAAUUUAAUUUGGUACUUAAAGGACUUAACAUGGAAGCAUUUCAUGAUUUUUUUUUAAUUGACUCCAAAUGUUAUAUUCCUUAGGACAUCAAGGGUUUCAAAUCAUGGGAGUGUACAGGUUUCUAUUUACCCAUUGGGAAUAUAGAAGUGAAUGUGAUUUUGCCAUUAGAGGUAGAUCCGGUUUCUCAGGGCUCUGGAAAUAGAAGGCGUUAAGUGCUUUCCCUGGGACAAGAAUGGUAUUUUUGCAGUUAGAAGAAGGUAGAGUAGUGAGUGAUCCAUGGAGACACCAGGGUAAGAAAAUCAAUUGCCGUGUGAUUUAUGCUGUUUCUGCUGCAUUGGUGCUACAGUUCUAGGUGUUUAUGUAGACAAUUGGUAAGCUCUGAUAGAAUUUUUAGAAUGAGGCAAGGCAGAAAUAAAUACAAGGAAAGAAAAGAAAAGAGGGAGGGA